rnacentral:tRNA from 1 species
GGAUGUAGCUCAGUGGUAGAGCACUUGUCUAGAAUGCUGGAGGCCUUAGGUUCCAUUCUUAGCUCCA